rnacentral:rRNA from 1 species
UACGGGGGGGGCAAGCGUUGUUCGGAAUUACUGGGCGUAAAGGGCUCGUAGGCGGCCAACUAAGUCGGGUGUGAAAGCCCCGGGCUCAACCUGGGAAUUGCAUCCGAGACUGAAUAGCUAGGGUACGGUAGAGGGAAGUGGAAUUUCCGGUGUAGCGGUGAAAUGCGUAGAUAUCGGAAGGAACAUCAGUGGCGAAGGCGGUCUGCUGGGCCGUUGCUGACGCUGAGGCGCGACAGCGUGGGGAGCAAACAGG